rnacentral:rRNA from 1 species
UACAGAGGUCCCGAGCGUUGUUCGGAUUUACUGGGCGUAAAGGGUGCGUAGGUGGUUGUGCAAGUCUGAUGUGAAAUCCCGGGGCUCAACCUCGGAAUUGCCUUCGAUACUGUUAGUCUUGAGUCCGGGAGAGGUGAGUGGAAUUCCUAGUGUAGAGGUGAAAUUCGUAGAUAUUAGGAAGAACACCAGUGGCGAAGGCGGCUCACUGGCCCGGUACUGACGCUCAUGUGCGAAAGCGUGGGGAGCAAACAGG